rnacentral:rRNA from 1 species
AUAAGGAGCUUGCUCCUUUGACGUUAGCGGCGGACGGGUGAGUAACACGUGGGUAACCUACCUAUAAGACUGGGAUAACUUACGGGAAACCGGAGCUAAUACCGGAUAACAUUUGGAACCGCAUGGUUCUAAAGUGAAAGAUGGUUUUGCUAUCACUUAUAGAUGGACCCGCGCCGUAUUAGGCUAGUUGGUAAGGUAACGGCUUACCAAGGCGACGAUACGUAGCCGACCUGAGAGGGUGAUCGGCCACACUGGAACUGAGACACGGUCCAGACUCCUACGGGAGGCAGCAGUAGGGAAUCUUCCGCAAUGGGCGAAAGCCUGACGGAGCAACGCCGCGUGAGUGAUGAAGGGUUUCGGCUCGUAAAACUCUGUUAUUAGGGAAGAACAAAUGUGUAAGUAACUGUGCACGUCUUGACGGUACCUAAUCAGAAAGCCACGGCUAACUACGUGCCAGCAGCCGCGGUAAUACGUAGGUGGCAAGCGUUAUCCGGAAUUAUUGGGCGUAAAGCGCGCGUAGGCGGUUUCUUAAGUCUGAUGUGAAAGCCCACGGCUCAACCGUGGAGGGUCAUUGGAAACUGGGAAACUUGAGUGCAGAAGAGGAAAGUGGAAUUCCAUGUGUAGCGGUGAAAUGCGCAGAGAUAUGGAGGAACACCAGUGGCGAAGGCGACUUUCUGGUCUGUAACUGACGCUGAUGUGCGAAAGCGUGGGGAUCAAACAGGAUUAGAUACCCUGGUAGUCCACGCCGUAAACGAUGAGUGCUAAGUGUUAGGGGGUUUCCGCCCCUUAGUGCUGCAGCUAACGCAUUAAGCACUCCGCCUGGGGAGUACGACCGCAAGGUUGAAACUCAAAGAAUUGACGGGGACCCGCACAGCGGUGAAUCUGUGGUUAAUUCGAACCACGCGAAGAUCUUACCAAUCUUGACUCCUUUGAAACUCUAGAAUAGAGCUUCCCUUCGGGGACAAUGGACGGGGUGCUGGUGGCUCACUC